CGCCUCUUGUAAAAGUAUAUGAGGUCAAGCCUGCCCAGUGACACAUGAUUCAACGGCCGCGGUAUCCUAACCGCGCUAAGGUAGCGUAAUCACUUGUCCUUUAAAUGGGGACUAGAAUGAACGGCACCACGAGGGUUACACUGUCUCCUUUUUUCAAUCAGUUAAACUAAUCUCCCCGUGAAGAAGCGGGGAUUCACCUAUAAGACGAGAAGACCCUAUGGAGCUUUAAAUUUUAUUACAACUGCUUUACACUUUUAAGUCUUAGACUUACUAACCCACCAGCAUUAUGAUAAUGAAUUUUAGGUUGGGGCGACCGCGGAGUAUAACAUAACCUCCAUAUUGACACAGGCCUGUUUUUUCUUUUUUGCCUUGAACCAAGAGCCACGACUCUAAGAAAUAAUACAUUAACAUUCAUUGACCCAAUACUUUUGAUCAACGAACCAAGUUACCCUAGGGAUAACAGCGCAAUCCACUUUAAGAGCCCCUAUCGACAAGUGGGUUUACGACCUCGAUGUUGGAUCAGGGUAUCCCGGUGGUGCAGCCACUACUAAAGGUUCGUUUGUUCAACGAUUAAAACCCUACGUGAUCUGAGU
rnacentral:rRNA from 1 species